GGCUAGAGAAGAGAAAGUUUGCACAGUUGUGGAAAUUAGUUGCCCACCGGAUGUUAACAUAAAACUGAAGAUCAGUGAGAAAGAGAACACCUAUACUGAAGAACUGAGAAAUCUGCAGUUACAAGUUCAAG